rnacentral:rRNA from 1 species
GUGCCAGCAGCCGCGGUAAUACGGAGGUUCCAAGCGUUGUUCGGAAUUACUGGGCGUAAAGGGAGCGCAGGCGGUCUGAUCAGUCUAAAGUGGAAGCCCGGGGCUCAACCUCGGAAAGCCUUUGGAUACUGUCAGACUUGAGUACGUGAGAGGAAGGCGGAAUUCAAGGUGUAGCGGUGAAAUGCUUAGAUAUCUUGAGGAACACCAAUGGCGAAAGCAGCCUUCUGGCACGACACUGACGCUGAGGCUCGAAAGCGUGGGGAGCAAACAGGAUUAGAAACCCCUGUAGUCC